rnacentral:rRNA from 1 species
UACGUAGGGGCCGAGCGUUGUCCGGAGUUAUUGGGCGUAAAGCGCGCGCAGGCGGCCUCGCGCGCCCGACGUGAAAGCCCCCGGCUUAACCGGGGAGGGUCGUUGGGGACGGCGGGGCUUGAGGGCGGGAGAGGGUGGUGGAAUUCCCGGUGUAGUGGUGAAAUGCGUAGAGAUCGGGAGGAACACCAGUGGCGAAGGCGACUACCUGGACCAGCACUGACACUGAGGCACGAAAGCGUGGGGAGCAAACAGG